rnacentral:rRNA from 1 species
UACGAGGGGGGCAAAUGUUGUUCGGAAUCACUGGGCGUAAAGGGAGCGUAGGCGGGCUCUUUAGUUAGGUGUUUAAUCCCGGGGCCCAACCCCGGACAGGCACCUAAAACUGGGAGUCUUGAAUAGUGGAGAGGUCGGCGGAAUUGGGGGUGUAGCGGUGGAAUGCGUAGAGAUCCCCAAGAACACCAGUUGCGAAGGCGGCCGACUGGACACAUAUUGACGCUGAGGCUCGAAAGCAUGGGGAGCAAACAGG